UACAGAGGUGGCAAGCGUUGUUCGGAUUUACUGGGCGUAAAGGGUGCGUAGGUGGCACCGCAUGUCGGAUGUGAAAUCUCACGGCCCAACCGUGAAAUGGCAUCCGAAACUGCGGAGCUAGAGUGCAGGAGAGGUGAGCGGAAUUCUAGGUGUAGCGGUGAAAUGCGUAGAUAUCUAGAGGAACACCGGUGGCGAAAGCGGCUCACUGGACUGACACUGACGCUGAGGCACGAAAGCCAGGGUAGCAAAAAGG
rnacentral:rRNA from 1 species